rnacentral:rRNA from 1 species
GACGAACGCUGGCGGCGUGCUUAACACAUGCAAGUCGAGCGGUAAGGCCCUUUCGGGGGUACACGAGCGGCGAACGGGUGAGUAACACGUGGGUGACCUGCCCUUAGCUCUGGGAUAAGCCUGGGAAACUGGGUCUAAUACCGGAUAUGACUCCAUGACGCAUGUUGUGGGGUGGAAAGCCUUGUGCGGCUAGGGAUGGGCCCGCGGCCUAUCAGCUUGUUGGUGGGGUGAUGGCCUACCAAGGCGGCGACGGGUAGCCGGCCUGAGAGGGCGACCGGCCACACUGGGACUGAGACACGGCCCAGACUCCUACGGGAGGCAGCAGUGGGGAAUCUUGCGCAAUGGGCGAAAGCCUGACGCAGCGACGCCGCGUGGGGAUGACGGCCUCGG